rnacentral:rRNA from 1 species
GAUGAACGCUAGCGACAGGCCUAACACAUGCAAGUCGAGGGGCAGCGCGGAGCAAGCUUGCUUGUUCUGGCGGCGACCGGCGCACGGGUGCGUAACAGGUGUGCAAUCUGUCCAUAAUCGGGGAAUAGCCCAGCGAAAGUUGGAUUAAUGCUCCAUGUGAGUUUUAGAGGCAUCUCUUUAAUUUGAAACGUAAGGAUUAUGGGUGAGCACGCUUCUGAUUAGGUAGUUGGUGAGGUAACGGCUCACCAAGCCGACGAUCAGUAGGGGUUCUGAGAGGAAGGUCCCCCACAUUGGAACUGAGACACGGUCCAAACUCCUACGGGAGGCAGCAGUGAGGAAUAUUGGUCAAUGGGCGAAAGCCUGAACCAGCCAAGUCGCGUGAAGGAUGAAGGUUCUAUGGAUUGUAAACUUCUUUUGUCUGGGGUUAAAAAGCGGACGUGUCCGUUCUUGCAAGUAUCAGACGAAUAAGCAUCGGCUAACUCCGUGCCAGCCGCCGCGGUAACAC